UACGGGGGGGGGCAAGCGUUGUUCGGAAUUACUGGGCGUAAAGGCUCGUAGGCGGCCAACUAAGUCGGAUGUGAAAUCCCCAGGCUUAACCUGGGAACUGCAUCCGAUACUGGAUGGCUUGAAUCCGGGAGAGGGAUGCAGAAUUCCAGGUGUAGCGGUGAAAUGCGUAGAUAUCUGGAGGAAUACCGGUGGCGAAGGCGGCAUCCUGGACCGGCAUUGACGCUGAUACGCGAAAGCGUGGGGAGCAAACAGG
rnacentral:rRNA from 1 species